UACGUUCCCGGGUCUUGUACACACCGCCCGUCAUACCACGAAAGUCAGUAGCACCCGAAGCGCCAUUUUAUAUGGUUCUAAGGUGAGAUUGAUGAGUUGGGGUA
rnacentral:rRNA from 1 species